AUUGAACGCUGGCGGCAGGCCUAACACAUGCAAGUCGAACGAGUGGCGGACGGGUGAGUAAUGUCUGGGAAACUGCCCGAUGGAGGGGGAUAACUACUGGAAACGGUAGCUAAUACCGCAUACCAUCGGAUGUGCCCAGAUGGGAUUAGCUAGUAGGUGGGGUAACGGCUCACCUAGGCGACGCUCCCUAGCUGGUCUGAGAGGAUGAACAGCCCCACUGGAACUGAGGCACGGUCCAGACUCCUACGGGGGGGAGCAGUGGGGAAUAUUGCACAAUUGGGGCAAGCCUUGUGCAGCCAUGGCGCGUGUAUGAAGAAGGCCUUCGGGUUGUAAAGUACUUUCAGCCAGGAAGCGUUACUCGGAGGAGGAGCACCGGCUAACUCCGUGCCAGCAGGCGCGGUAAUAC
rnacentral:rRNA from 1 species